rnacentral:rRNA from 1 species
AUGGCAACGGCCGUGCGGAGUCUGCCGCCGGGCCACGCGUUCGAGCCCAGCGGCCACCAGAUCAUCACGCAGUACCUCGCACCCAAGGCGCUCCGGGGCGACGCCACCCCGGGGCACGUCGCGGAGGGCGUGGACGUCUUCGCCGCGAGCCCCGCGGCGCUCCCCUUCCACCCCAGCACCAGGCGGCGGCACGGGGAGGCGUGGGGCUACUUCUACGGCGCCCAGGCCAGCGGCGACGCGCUGCCUGCGCCGGGCGGGUGCUGGGCGCGCUACGGCCGCGAGAAGGGGUACGUGCACGGCGCCGGCGCGGCCGCGGAGGCGGUCGCGUUCCGAAGCAGGUUCGCGUUCCACGUGCCGCGGCUGGGCGGCGACGGCGGGGCGGCGUGGGCGCCGACGCCGUGGCUGAUGAAGGAGUACCGGCUCAACAAGGGCGCGGCCGCCUUCCGCGCCGCGCAGCCCGGCCCGAAGGCGGACAUGGACUGCGUGGUCCGCAAGAUCUUCACGAAGCCGGUGGUGGCGCCCCCUCCGCCGCCGGCUUGCAGCUCCGACGAGGAGGACUCCAGCGGCCUCGGCGUGGACGAGGAGGACGACGGCUACUACAGCGAAGAGGACCGGAGGCGCGUCGGCUGCUCCAUCGAGGGCCCGCCGCGGAAGCGCGCUCGACCUAGCUGA